GACGAACGCUGGCGGCGUGCUUAACACAUGUAAGUCGAACGAUGAAGCUAGAGCUUGCUCUGGUGAAUUAGUGGCGAACGGGUGAGUAACACGUGAGUAACCUGCCCCGAACUCUGGGAUAACUGCUGGAAACGGUAGCUAAUACUGGAUACGACCUACGAAGGCAUCUUCUGUAGGUGGAAAGAAUUUCGGUUCGGGAUGGACUCGCGGCCUAUCAGCUUGUUGGUGAGGUAAUGGCUCACCAAGGCGACGACGGGUAGCCGGCCUGAGAGGGUGACCGGCCACACUGGGACUGAGACACGGCCCAGACUCCUACGGGAGGCAGCAGUGGGGAAUAUUGCACAAUGGGCGCAAGCCUGAUGCAGCAACGCCACGUGAGGGAUGACGGCCUUCGGGUUGUAAACCUCUUUUAGUAGGGAAGAAGCGAAAGUGACGGUACCUGCAGAAAAAGCACCGGCUAACUACGUGCCAGCCGCCGCAGUAA
rnacentral:rRNA from 1 species